rnacentral:rRNA from 1 species
UACGAAGGGGGCUAGCGUUGCUCGGAAUUACUGGGCGUAAAGCGCACGUAGGCGGCUCUUUAAGUCGGGGGUGAAAGCCUGUGGCUCAACCACAGAAUUGCCUUCGAUACUGUAGAGCUUGAGACCGGAAGAGGUAAGUGGAACUGCGAGUGUAGAGGUGAAAUUCGUAGAUAUUCGCAAGAACACCAGUGGCGAAGGCGGACUUACUGGUCCGGUUCUGACGCUGAGGCGCGAAAGCGUGGGUAGCGAAUGGG